GGUAGUCCACGCCGUAAACGAUGUCAACUAGCCGUUGGAAUCCUUGAGAUUUUAGUGGCGCAGCUAACGCAUUAAGUUGACCGCCUGGGGAGUACGGCCGCAAGGUUAAAACUCAAAUGAAUUGACGGGGGCCCGCACAAGCGGUGGGGCAUGUGGUUUAAUUCGAUGCAACGCGAAGAACCUUACCUACUCUUGACAUCCAGAGAACUUAGCAGAGAUGCUUUGGUGCCUUCGGGAACUCUGAGACAGGUGCUGCAUGGCUGUCGUCAGCUCGUGUUGUGAAAUGUUGGGUUAAGUCCCGCAACGAGCGCAACCCUUAUCCUUUGUUGCCAGCGGUUAGGCCGGGAACUCAAAGGAGACUGCCAGUGAUAAACUGGAGGAAGGUGGGGAUGACGUCAAGUCAUCAUGGCCCUUACGAGUAGGGCUACACACGUGCUACAAUGGCGCAUACAAAGAGAAGCGACCUCGCGAGAGCAAGCGGACCUCAUAAAGUGCGUCGUAGUCCGGAUUGGAGUCUGCAACUCGACUCCAUGAAGUCGGAAUCGCUAGUAAUCGUAGAUCAGAAUGCUACGGUGAAUACGUUCCCGGGCCUUGUACACACCGCCCGUCACACCAUGGGAGUGGGUUGCAAAAGAAGUAGGUAGCUUAACCUUCGGGAGGGCGCUUACCACUUUGUGAUUCAUGACUGGGGUGAAGUCGUAACAAGGUAACCGUAGGGGAACCUGC
rnacentral:rRNA from 1 species